GGCAAUUCCGAGCUCGUUUCUUCCUCUCCUGCACAUGCUUGGCUAUUCUGACAGCCACACCGGCCCAGAGAGGGCUUUCUCCAAUCGUAAACUAUGUUCCUGGAACGUGAACUUCAUUUUGUUUGCCUUUCAAGAUACAGAAGUAUUUGGUUCUGUUUAUUUUUGUUCCAGAUGGGCAGGGCCCUCUUGCCUGUUCUGACUAAUCCACUCGUCAGGGCUGGAAUCUCCUAACAGUUCCUUCCUCCAGGGAGGGGUGCCAAGGAAGUGACAAGGCCUAGGAUGGAGGCCCAGUGGAAGACAGCAGAGUGGACAGAAUGACAGAAAUUCAUGGGAGACGACUCUGGUUGGAUGGCAGUCCCGUUUACAUCUACAGAGACUCAGUUGUUUUCAAUUAUUGCUCCGGCAUUCCUGAUUGCUCACCUUUUUCUAGGAAACUACUGGGGCUGAACUUCAG
ensembl:antisense Gm4876 predicted gene 4876